AGUGACACACAGUUCAACCCUGUCUCUCGACGUUGGGCAGUGGCAGUUCCCUGUCAGCUCCUCAGCCACAAAGGGAGGCAUCAGCAGUGUUCUACGUUCAGCAGAGUAGCAUCUGCAUGUCAGCCGGGCAGAGGGAGCCACUGUUAAGCAAGAGGACCAGGACCACUUCUAAAGGGCUUUUUCAACUAACACAGCUUGACAGCAAAUGUUCUGGAGGAAUUUGAGAGGAUGAGUGAUAGAAUUGGAAGGAAGAAGUGGAAAUAAAGCUUUUGUAGGCUGACACGAUGGACUGAAUCUAGCAGGGUGAGAUGUAACAAAAGAAAAACAUCUCCACCUAGACACCUACCACCUGGCCCAAGAGCAGCAAAGUCCAGAACUGCAGGAUGAGGGACACAUAGACGAGCAGAUUUUCAGUAGUGAUGCUCAACCGAUAAAGUCCAUGCAAAUAAUUUCACAACCUGAGAAGCUCCGAAAUCCGAAAGACCUCCAGUCCCAAGCAUUUCAGAUGAAGGAUGCUCAACUUCAAACAAGCUCUGAAAGUUCCCUGAGGCCCAGCCCUGAACAAGAGAUUCUGGAGAAUGGAUGGAGAUGGCAUAGACUUUACUCUGCCUUGAGAUUUCUAACCCAAGCGAGGCUUGGGAUUCUAGAUCUUCAGGAAUCUGGUGGGUAAAUCACCUUCUCUUCUAGAAAGAGAGUAGAGCUGGUUCUUCUCUGCUGAAGCUGGACUCCCCAAAGCUUGUGGUGUGGGAGGUGACAACUGAGCACCCCUUUGCUGUCCCUGCCCCACUCAGAGCCCCAGGCAAAGGAUGACAAAGGGAAGCCCACAAGUCACAUGGCUGGGUGAAGUAGGGCAGUGUGAAAACUCACAAGUCCAGAAAAAUUUAAAAUGUUGAAAACAACAACAGAAAUUUCAACCAAUUUAUCCAUUGAGAUACGAGAUUCUUAGACAUCCACAUCUUUUUGUAGUAGGUGACCCCCAUUCUAACCUCUCCAGCAAUAGUACAGUCCCUUAAAUUAUGCAUUAUAAUGACCAUUUCCCAGGCCUAGGUUGUCUUGCACAGAAAUCUCUCCAGAAAUCGUUAAAACAAAAAUUUCUUUGAUAUCAUUUAGUCAUUAUUUCACAGUAGAAUUGUUGACAUAUGGGCAUCUCCAAGAGAUCAUUCCAGGUG